GAAGAGUUGAAUGUUUUCUCUAUAUCUCACGCUGAAAGAUGUUACGAGGACUCUAAGCUGCCAAAAGAUUUAGUCUAUGGUCGUGCCUAUAGUUCCUUUGUGAUUUUCGAAUUAUUACUUUGCCUUCGUUGUGAUUAUGUGAUAUGUGAUGGGGGCCAUGAGAGUUAGUCCAUUGUCGUAGAGGUUGUGUUUUGACACAGAGAAAAUUAAAGCCAGUGCAUAUGGAGUUUCUAAGCAUAGAAAUUGACGUUGGGAAUGGGCACUACAGAAAAUAUGUGUAUUAAUAGCAUCAAAUUAUAGCGUU